GUGGGGAAUAUUGGACAAUGGGCGCAAGCCUGAUCCAGCAAUGCCGCGUGGGUGAAGAAGGUCUUCGGAUCGUAAAGCCCUUUCGACGGGGACGAUGAUGACGGUACCCGUAGAAGAAGCCCCGGCUAACUUCGUGCCAGCAGCCGCGGUAAUACGAAGGGGGCUAGCGUUGCUCGGAAUUACUGGGCGUAAAGGGCGCGUAGGCGGUCAUUUUAGUCAGGCGUGAAAUUCCCGGGCUUAACCUGGGGACUGCGCUUGAUACUGGGUGACUUGAGGGUGGAAGAGGGUCGUGGAAUUCCCAGUGUAGAGGUGAAAUUCGUAGAUAUUGGGAAGAACACCGGUGGCGAAGGCGGCGACCUGGUCCAUUACUGACGCUGAGGCGCGACAGCGUGGGGAGCAAACAGGAUUAGAAACCCUUGUAGUCC
rnacentral:rRNA from 1 species